rnacentral:rRNA from 1 species
CACGCCGUAAACGAUGUCAACUAGUUGUUGGGUUCCUUGAGGACUUAGUAACGCAGCUAACGCAUUAAGUUGACCGCCUGGGGAGUACGGCCGCAAGGUUAAAACUCAAAUGAAUUGACG